rnacentral:rRNA from 1 species
AGGGGGUUUGAAUCAUGGCUCAGGACGAACGCUGGCGGCGUGCUUAACACAUGCAAGUCGAACGGUGAAGGAGGAGCUUGCUCCUCCGGAUCAGUGGCGAACGGGUGAGUAACACGUGAGCAAUCUGCCCCUGACUCUGGGAUAACCUCGGGAAACCGAAGCUAAUACCGGAUACGAAGCGCGAAGGCAUCUUCAGCGCUUGGAAAGAAUUUCGGUCAGGGAUGAGCUCGCGGCCUAUCAGUUAGUUGGUGAGGUAACGGCUCACCAAGACGACGACGGGUAGCCGGCCUGAGAGGGUGACCGGCCACACUGGGACUGAGACACGGCCCAGACUCCUACGGGAGGCAGCAGUGGGG